rnacentral:rRNA from 1 species
UGAGGAAUAUUGGUCAAUGGACGAGAGUCUGAACCAGCCAAGUAGCGUGAAGGAUGACUGCCCUAUGGGUUGUAAACUUCUUUUAUAUGGGAAUAAAGUUUUCCACGUGUGGAAUUUUGUAUGUACCAUAUGAAUAAGGAUCGGCUAACUCCGUGCCAGCAGCCGCGGUAAUACGGAGGAUCCGAGCGUUAUCCGGAUUUAUUGGGUUUAAAGGGAGCGUAGGUGGACAGUUAAGUCAGUUGUGAAAGUUUGCGGCUCAACCGUAAAAUUGCAGUUGAUACUGGUAGUCUUGAGUGCAGCAGAGGUAGGCGGAAUUCGUGGUGUAGCGGUGAAAUGCUUAGAUAUCACGAAGAACUCCGAUUGCGAUGGCAGCUUACUGGACUGUAACUGACGCUGAGGUUCGAAAGCGUGGGUAGCAAACAGG